rnacentral:rRNA from 1 species
UACGUAGGGGCAAGCGUUGUCCGGAUUUAUUGGCGUAAAGAGCUCGUAGGCGGUCUGUUGCGUCCGCUGUGAAACUCGGGCUUAACCCGAGCCUGCAGUGGUACGGCAGACUAGAGUGCGGUAGGGUGACUGGAAUUCCUGGUGUAGCGGUGGAAUGCGCAGAUAUCAGGAGGAACACCGGUGGCGAAGGCGGCAUCCUGGACCAAUUCUGACGCUGAGGAGCGAAAGCCAGGGAGCAAACGGG